UACGUAGGGGGCAAGCGUUGUCCGGAAUCAUUGGGCGUAAAGCGCGUGUAGGCGGUUCGAUAAGUCUGCUGUGAAAGUCCAGGGCUCAACCCUGGAAAGCCGGUGGAUACUGUCGGACUAGAGUGCGGAAGAGGCGAGUGGAAUUCCCGGUGUAGCGGUGAAAUGCGCAGAUAUCAGGAGGAACACCGGUGGCGAAGGCGGGUCUCUGGGCCGUAACUGACGCUGAGGAGCGAAAGCGUGGGGAGCGAACAGG
rnacentral:rRNA from 1 species